CAGUGCGAAGGUAAUUAAAUUACCUUCGCACUGUUCAAACGUUAUUUGAAUCAACGAAGAACAGAAAAGAAAGAAAAAAAAUGUAUAGCGAAGGCGCACCUGUUUCUGGCGAUUGAAGAAGAUCGCGAUGCUGGUGACUGUUGCCCUCGUCCGGCUACUCUCCCUUCUCUCCCCGCUGUGACCUCUCUGUUUUCCUUGCUUUUGAUUUCUCGAUUCUCAGUGUGAAGAAGCUGAGAGGUAAUGGGUUCUUUGAGGUUUUUUACUGAUUUCGGGUUGCUUUUUCUGCAGGGAUUCUCCUAAUGGAAGAUAAUUCUCCUUUUUAGUCUGGUUUCUCGUUCUUGCUUUCAAUCUGUUUUUUUUUUUUGCUCUGUUUUCUCGUUGUUCUCUGUUUUUUUUUCUGGGUUGUAUUUUUGAUUGCUCUGUUUUUCUCUAGGUUUCCUCCUUCUCUCUGGUGUGCCUUCUCUCCUUUUAUAGAGACCCAGCCCCUAACCAGUCCUGCCUUUGCAGGACUGUUAUCUUCCACGAACGAGAUCGUGGGCGAGAGCCGUGAUCCACGAUUGGAUCAAAUCCGUUGCAGAUUUUCAGCCUGUUGAAUCGGGAUGGAGAAGACGAACACGGCUAUU
rnacentral:lncRNA from 1 species